rnacentral:rRNA from 1 species
UAUCAGAAGUGCGAAUGCUGACAUAAGUAACGAUAAAGCGGGUGAAAAGCCCGCUCGCCGGAAGACCAAGGGUUCCUGUCCAACGUUAAUCGGGGCAGGGUGAGUCGACCCCUAAGGCGAGGCCGAAAGGCGUAGUCGAUGGGAAACAGGUUAAUAUUCCUGUACUUGGUGUUACUGCGAAGGGGGGACGGAGAAGGCUAUGUUGGCCGGGCGACGGUUGUCCCGGUUUAAGCGUGUAGGCUGGUUUUCCAGGCAAAUCCGGAAAAUCAAGGCUGAGGCGUGAUGACGAGGCACUACGGUGCUGAAGCAACAAAUGCCCUGCUUCCAGGAAAAGCCUCUAAGCAUCAGGUAACAUCAAAUCGUACCCCAAACCGACACAGGUGGUCAGGUAGAGAAUACCAAGGCGCUUGAGAGAACUCGGGUGAAGGAACUAGGCAAAAUGGUGCCGUAACUUCGGGAGAAGGCACGCUGAUAUGUAGGUGAAGUCCCUCGCGGAUGGAGCUGAAAUCAGUCGAAGAUACCAGCUGGCUGCAACUGUUUAUUAAAAACACAGCACUGUGCAAACACGAAAGUGGACGUAUACGGUGUGACGCCUGCCCGGUGCCGGA